CCUACGGGUGGCAGCAGUGAGGAAUAUUGGUCAAUGGCCGGGAGGCUGAACCAGCCAAGUCGCGUGAGGGAAGACGGCCCUACGGGUGGUAAACCUCGUUUGUCAGGGAGCAAGGUGCAGGUCGGGACCUGCUGUGAGAGUACCUGAAGAAAAAGCAUCGGCUAACUCCGUGCCAGCAGCCGCGGUAAUACGGAGGAUGCGAGCGUUAUCCGGAUUGAGUGGGUGUAACGGGUGCGCCGGGGGAGGCAAAAGUCAGCGGGAAAAUCGCGGGGCUCAACCCCGCUCCGCCGUUGAAACUGUGUCCCUGGAGUGCGCGAAGGGUAGGCGGAAGGCGUGGUGUAGCGGUGAAAUGCAUAGAUAUCACGAAGAACUCCGAUCGCGAAGGCAGCCUACCGGCGCGCAACUGACGCUCAUGCACGAAAGCGUGGGUAUCGAACAGGAUUAGAUACCCGAGUAGUC
rnacentral:rRNA from 1 species